rnacentral:rRNA from 1 species
GGGGGGGGGGGGGGGGGGGGGGGGCGGGGGGGGGGGGGAGGGGGGUGGGGGACGGGGGUGUUGGGAGGGAGGCCGGUAAUUCUUAGUGGCGGACGGGUGAGUAACGCGUGGGCCAACUGCCCUAGACAGGGGGCUAACAGCUGGAACCGGCUGGUUAGACCGCAUACGGCGGGUAAAUCGCAUGCUUUGAUCGUGAAAUGCGCAAUCAGGUAUAGGAAGGGCCCGCGUCCGAUUAGCCAGUUGGCAGGGUGAAAGCCUACCACAGCGACGAUCGGUAGCCGGACUGAGAGGUCGGACGGCCACAGUGGGACUGAGACACGGCCCAAACUCCUACGGGAGGCAGCAGUGGGGGAUAUUGCACAAUGGAGGAAACUCUGAUGCAGCGACGCCGCGUGAGUGAAGAAGUAUUUCGGUAUGUAAAGCUCUAUCAGCAGGGAAGAUGAUGACGGUACCUGACGAAGAAGCCCCGGCUAACUACGUG